rnacentral:rRNA from 1 species
UACGAAGGGGGCUAGCGUUGCUCGGAAUCACUGGGCGUAAAGCGCACGUAGGCGGCUCUCUAAGUCAGGGGUGAAAUCCUGGAGCUCAACUCCAGAACUGCCUUUGAUACUGGAGAGCUCGAGUCCGGAAGAGGUGAGUGGAACUCCGAGUGUAGAGGUGAAAUUCGUAGAUAUUCGGAAGAACACCAGUGGCGAAGGCGGCUCACUGGUCCGGUACUGACGCUGAUGUGCGAAAGCGUGGGGAGCAAACAGG